rnacentral:rRNA from 1 species
UACGUAGGGUGCGAGCGUUAAUCGGAAUUACUGGGCGUAAAGUGUGCGCAGGCGGUUCUGAAAGUCAGCUGUGAAAGCCCCGGGCUUAACCUGGGAAUGGCGGUUGAAACUACAGGACUAGGAUCUGGCAGAGGGGGGUGGAAUUCCACGUGUAGCAGUGAAAUGCGUAGAGAUGUGGAGGAACACCGAUGGCGAAGGCAGCCCCCUGGGCUGAGAUUGACGCUCAGGCACGAAAGCGUGGGGAGCAAACAGG